rnacentral:rRNA from 1 species
UGGGGAAUAUUGCACAAUGGGGGAAACCCUGAUGCAGCGACGCCGCGUGAACGAAGAAGGUAUUCGUAUCGUAAAGUUCUGUCCUAUGGGAAGAUAAUGACAGUACCAUAGAAGAAAGCUCCGGCUAAAUACGUGCCAGCAGCCGCGGUAAUACGUAUGCAGCGAGCGUUGUCCGGAAUUAUUGGGCGUAAAGGGUACGCAGGCGGUUUAAUAAGUCGAAUGUUAAAGAUCGGGGCUCAACCCCGCAAAGCAUUGGAAACUGAUAAACUUGAGUAGUGGAGAGGAAAGUGGAAUUCCUAGUGUAGUGGUGAAAUACGUAGAUAUUAGGAGGAAUACCAGUAGCGAAGGCGACUUUCUGGACACAAACUGACGCUGAGGUACGAAAGCGUGGGGAGCAAACAGG